rnacentral:rRNA from 1 species
CAGGCCUAACACAUGCAAGUCGAGCGGAUGACGGGAGCUUGCUCCUUGAUUCAGCGGCGGACGGGUGAGUAAUGCCUAGGAAUCUGCCUGGUAGUGGGGGACAACGUUUCGAAAGGAACGCUAAUACCGCAUACGUCCUACGGGAGAAAGCAGGGGACCUUCGGGCCUUGCGCUAUCAGAUGAGCCUAGGUCGGAUUAGCUAGUUGGUGGGGUAAUGGCUCACCAAGGCGACGAUCCGUAACUGGUCUGAGAGGAUGAUCAGUCACACUGGAACUGAGACACGGUCCAGACUCCUACGGGAGGCAGCAGUGGGGAAUAUUGGACAAUGGGCGAAAGCCUGAUCC